UUACGGCCAUAUCACAUUGUAAAAACGGUUCUCAUACGAUCAGCGCAGUUAAGCAACGCUGAACCUGGUCAGUACCUAGAUGGGUAACCACUUUGGAAUAUCAUGUGCG